GCACGGGAGCAAUCCUGGUGGCGAGUGGCGAACGGGUGAGUAAUAUAUCGGAACGUGCCCAGUCGUGGGGGAUAACGCAGCGAAAGCUGUGCUAAUACCGCAUACGAUCUACGGAUGAAAGCGGGGGAUCGCAAGACCUCGCGCGAUUGGAGCGGCCGAUAUCAGAUUACCUAGUUGGUGGGGUAAAAGCCCACCAAGGCGACGAUCUGUAGCUGGUCUGAGAGGACGACCAGCCACACUGGAACUGAGACACGGUCCAGACUCCUACGGGAGGCAGCAGUGCGGAAUUUUGGACAAUGCGCGCAAGCCUGAUCCAGCAAUGCCGCGUGCAGGACGAAGGCCUUCGGGUUGUAAACUGCUUUUGUACGGAGCGAAACGGCUUCCCUUAAUACGGGGAGCUAAUGACGGUACCGUAAGAAUAAGCACCGGCUAACUACGUGCCAGCAGCCGCGGUAAUACGUAGGGUGCGAGCGUUAAUCGGAAUUACUGGGCGUAAAGCGUGCGCAGGCGGUUAUAUAAGACAGAUGUGAAAUCCCCGGGCUCAACCUGGGACCUGCCUUUGUGACUGUAUAGCUAGAGUACGGUAGAGGGGGAUGGAAUUCCGUCGUGUAGCAGUGAAAUGCGUAGA
rnacentral:rRNA from 1 species